UACGGGGGGGAGCAAGCGUUGUUCGGAUUUACUGGGCGUAAAGGGCGCGUAGGCGGUGCGGUAAGUCACCUGUGAAAUCUCCUGGCUCAACUGGGAGCUUGCAGGCGAAACUGCCGUGCUGGAGUGUGGGAGAGGUGCGUGGAAUUCCCGGUGUAGCGGUGAAAUGCGUAGAUAUCGGGGAGGAACACCUGUGGCGAAAGCGGCGCACUGGACCACAACUGACGCUGAGGCGCGAAAGCUAGGGGGAGCAAACAGG
rnacentral:rRNA from 1 species